GACGAACGCUGGCGGCGUGCCUAAUACAUGCAAGUAGAACGCACAGUUUAUACCGUAGCUUGCUACACCAUAGACUGUGAGUUGCGAACGGGUGAGUAACGCGUAGGUAACCUGCCUGGUAGCGGGGGAUAACUAUUGGAAACGAUAGCUAAUACCGCAUAAUAUUGAUUAUUGCAUGAUAAUUGAUUGGAAGAUGCUAUUGCAUCACUACCAGAUGGACCUGCGUUGUAUUAGCUAGUAGGUGAGGUAACGGCUCACCUAGGCGACGAUACAUAGCCGACCUGAGAGGGUGAUCGGCCAAACUGGGACUGAGACACGGCCCAGACUCCUACGGGAGGCAGCAGUAGGGAAUCUUCGGCAAUGGACGAAAGUCUGACCGAGCAACGCCGCGUGAGUGAAGAAGGUUUUCGGAUCGUAAAGCUCUGUUGUAAGAGAAGAACGGGUGUGAGAGUGGAAAGUUCACACUGUGACGGUAUCUUACCAGAAAGGGACGGCUAACUACGUG
rnacentral:rRNA from 1 species